CAUAUACAUAUGGGGAUAAUUCCCAAUAAAACUCUGUUCCUAAACUGGAACCUUGAUUUGAUAUUCAAAAUUAAUUACUUUAAUACUCGCGAAUAAUUCAAUACUCUUGGAUUAACACCUAAAACUAUAUAAAAUAUUACAAACAUGAACCAUCUGUGUAUUAGGCUGGGGUUGUUGGGUGUGGGUAUAGGUUGGAAGCUAUGGUUGGUAUUGAGGAAUCUGUGGGGGUGGGUUUGGGCACUCAUUUUUCCAGUGACCCUGCUAUCCACAAUUAGAACAGUGUGUUCCACCAAUGCUGAAGUUGUUACCUCUACAAAAGUUAGACCCUUUGACUAAAUCCUCUACCUCUGCCUUUAUUCCAUAUGCAGGAUGGGAUUACCUAACUCACAGCCCCCUCUUUGUGUACCACACAGAUAUAAUAUUAAUAAGCUUUUAAAGGCUGUAUGGAUAGUUAAAUUUUGUAUAUAAAGCAAGGUUGUCUAGGGGUAUAUACAUCAACAAUGAAAGCAUAGCCUUCAUAUAGGGCUUGCAAUACUGACAGUCUGUGUCAUGAGCGUAAUGCAGACAUGCGGUUAGGUACUUUUCCAUUAUUAUAAUAUAUUGAAAACACUAAGACCUUGCAAAUUUUUAAAACACAUAUUGCUACCUGUACCUGGUGCCAUGCAAGGAUGUAAUUGGGACAUAUUUCAAAUUGAGUAUCAAAAGUCUAACCACAAAACUAAAUGUUAUACGCUUAUCAAGAAAACAAGUUUAACCCGUUAGUGCAUACUUUGGAUAGCCUCUUUGCAUAAUUUGGCUCCUAGUGAGAUUAUUAUAUUAUUUAUUAAUGCUCUUCUGGAUCUGCAAAAUGCUUUCAAUUUACCCAUACAAAUAUAAUACAGUAGUUUAGGAGAUUAAAAUUACCUCACUUAUAAAUUUCAGAAAUUGUCUAAUCUCUAUUAAAAUACCAUUUUAUUAUUACCCCAUAAUCAAGGUGGCAUACUAGAUGAAUCUUACUUUGACACAAACAAUGCAAUAUACUUUAAAAGUAGAGUUAACUCUGAGCUGGACAAUACUCCCCUAUUAGAACUCCUUUAUGAGGGAGAGACAUCUUGUCCAUUCAAUCCUUUUUAUCAGUAAAAGAAUGACUUUCAGGAUUAAUCAGUUUGCAAAUGGAAAUGUGGAGCCACGAUUUGAACAGCAGAAGUUUGCGGGGCCCCUUUCACGUGGGAUGUAACAAGCGCUUUUCGUGCUCCAGAGCGAUAGCAUACAAUUGUUUCAUUCUAGCCGGCUGGACAGCAUUUCACCUUUUGUAAAAACACUAAAUGCUUGCGUUAAUGAUAUGCAAAUCACUCUGCUAGUUAAACUCCUACACAAUGGACAAUAAAAUACAUGAAACACAUAACACACCAAUUCAUUUCAAACCAUAUAACUCAUACUCAGCAUUCAAUGUAAUAUUACAUGUCAUCUCACAAAACAGACAUCUCACAAAACAGACGUAGUAGAUACACGUAUCGGGUACCCAGCAGAUAUGCCAAUAUAGAAAACACAUUCAUGAGCACACAACUACACACUCUGUGUCCCUCCUAGGAAACACGGGUAGACACAAUAUGAAAGCAGUCUUAAACUAACACCUCCAAAUCUCCAUUCCCAUAUAGCUAUAUCAGACCACAACACUCUCUGAGCUCAUAGAACUACUCCAACUAUUCUUGGCCAGAAUGCUAGUAUUCAACAGCUAAUAAAACCGUUAUUUGCUGGGUUAUUUGGCUGGCAUUUGUAUCAGUAUCACUAAACUGAGACAAACUGAUUCACAUAUAAUUUAAAACAACACAGCAACAUAUAAAUUAAACCACUUUCCAGGUAAGCUGCACACUUCACACAUUAUCACAAUCACCAUUUACACAGAAUAAACAGUUAACAGCUGUACUCAGAACAUAUUAUUGUAAGGUAUACCAAUUUUAGUUUAUAUUAGAUUUAUUUUAGGGAUUCUUAUGUAUACUUUUUUUUUUUUUUAAUUCUUAUUAACUUCAUUACUUUAAUCUACUAUAGUAUUGUAUAUAGAGAAAGGAUCCAUUUAUAUAGCGCACUCAUAACUCAAAUAUUUGUAUGAAACUUCCAUUAACUAAUCUGAAGUGAUGCUGCAUCAACUUAAAUCUUAUAGAAAUUGAGCAAACAUUUGGACCAGAUUACACAGACAUGGUUUCACCAGAAUCUUACAGAACUCUCAGAGACUUAAAAAAAAUUAUUCUAUACCAUGUUUAAAAGGCAUGGCAAACCUUAGACCGGUCAGUCUCCAAGAGCCUUAGUAAAACAGGUAGAAACCUUUGUCCAUAAUCUCUGAUCCAGGCUAUAUACCACAAUUUAAAAGAACAGAACACAUAUAAUGUGAGACAUAGAAGACACAAAACAUAUGCAGUAGCUGAAUCAUUUAAAGCAUCUGUAGCAAUAAAAAGGUUAGCUUACAGCACAAAAUGAAGCAUGUGUUGGACCGCUGAAAAUGUAAAUGUUGCUCUCUUAUUUACAAACAAAAAUCAUAUUAAUGGUAUGGAUCCUUUGCAACAAACACACAGGGCAGGGAAGAUGUGCUGAUUGGUGUUUCUAUACAAUUAAUCCCAUAUGGGGAAUUAACGUUCAAAUACUAAUGAAGUGACUUUUUGUCUCAGUUCUAAAAAUACUGAGCUCAUCAUGCAAACAAUGUAACACAUUUACACUAUCCCACUCUCAUAGAAAGUGUAGUGGGCUUAUGGUAUUAAAGUAACAAUCAUACCAGGCACACAGAUCCCAUGUGAAAUAACUUGCAAUAAAACAGAGUAAUAAACUUAUACUUCUAUGCGACAGAAAGAAUAAAGUAAAAAGAUUUAAGUAGGUCUAUCAGGUACAACCUGCGAGUCAGUUCUUGUCUAAUAUACAGUACUGCUAUCAUAUAUAUAUGUAUAUAUAUUGGUCACUCAGGACCAGAACUUACAUUUCCCAUACUGCUGACUCAGGGUGGACACACUACUAACUUACCAAAGUGUGUCCCCAAUAUAGACAAUCACCCAAUUGAUGGAGAAUCAUUGUUUGCAAUAAAGACAUGGACACUACAAAUGUGCUUUAACAAGAUUCUCAGUGAGUAUAUUUUCAGGGCUAGCAUAUAAAGCAAAAAGAGUUUAACUAUUUCAUAUCCUUACAGUCAGCACUAAUGAUUAUAAACCUUAUUUAAGCAUAAAAUACAUAUGAACAAGAAAAGUUAACUACUUCAUAUUCUUACAUGGUAAUUUCCCAUUCCUAGGACAAAUCUUUCAAACACUUAUUCACACUCAGAACCAGACUUAACUAAUGACAAUUAGAGGGUGGACAAGGUGAACCUGAAACUCUGUGCACACUAUCGUAGUAUAUUCACUUAUAUACUAAAUUCUCUGUCUAUAUCACUUUAUAGACUUCCUUUUAUCUGUCUAAUUCUCUUAUUAGACCUUCUCUAGUUCACUUACUAGAAAUACAUAUAUCUCUCUGUCUAGUUCCCUUACUAGACUAAUUUAACGGGACCUUAUGUAAAACUGAGUCACAGAAAACACAUAUACUAAAUAACCUUUCCUAAAAUGAUGUAGACUUACAAAACCAUGGGGAUCAUAGAUUCAGGGCGUCAAGAUAGACACAAGGAAUUACUACUCACCCAAAAUGGUUUUGGCUACAAUCCCACUUUCUGACACCAAGCUGAAAGGUAAAUCUGCUACUCUGGUGACUCGGUCCCUCUGGUCACUAUUCUCCAACCCUCGAUUGUCAGCUGAAUAUUCAGGGAAGAUUUUUAUGGAAGCGUAUUAACCAGACGCACACUCUUUGCUUUCCAUAAUCUUCUGACAAUGUAUUCAAAAUGCUCUGUAUUUAUACAAUAUUUGUCACGAAUAUUGGUUACAAAAGGUUACAAAAAGGUUACACAAGAUACAUAAAAGAGGAAGCAGUUUCUGCUGUUACAUUCAAUAAUCUAAUCUUACAAAAUAUUACAUAUACAUUGUGGUUAGGCAUUUCCUGAUACAUAGAAACUGUCAUAGCUUGUGACUUCCUUUCAGUUAUGUUUUGCAAGCAGUUCUGAAAUACUGACAGAUUAAUUGUUUAACCCCUUAAGGACCAGAUUUCUGGAAUAAAAGGGAAUCAUGACAUGUCAUGUGUCCUUAAGGGGUCAAUAUUCCUUCACUG